rnacentral:RNase_P_RNA from 1 species
GCGGAUGGCCGGAUGAUCGCCGCUAGGGCAGGGAAACCUGCCCUUGGGGAGGAAAGUCCGGACUCCACAAGACAACGGUGCCGGGUAACGCCCGGCCGGGGCAACCCGAGGGAAAGCGCCACAGAGAACAAACCGCCCCGGACGUGAUCCGGGGUCAGGCUGAAACGGUGGGGUAAGAGCCCACCGCGCGACCGGCAACGGAAGCGGCACGGCAAGCCCCACCGGGAGCAAUGCCAAAUAGGGACCUCACGCCCGGCAACGGGCAAGGCCGUCUUGGCCCUUGAGGUUCGGGUUGGCAGCUUGAAGCGUUCGGUGACGGACGCUCUAGAGGAAUGAUCGUCGGCGGUGGGCGCAAGCCCGCCGUUACAAAAUCCGGCUUACAGGCCAUCCGCGCGU